rfam:Gossypium hirsutum cultivar TM-1 chromosome 2, whole genome shotgun sequence
AUACCUUUCUCGGCCUUUUGGCUAAGAUCAAGUGUAGUAUCUGUUCUUAUCAGUUUAAUAUCUGAUACGUGGGCCAUUGGUCUACAUAAUAUUAAUUUAUCUUUCGAGGGGUAAAGCUCACCACGGUAGCUUGCUACUGGGGCUUUCACGCGUUACCCAAGUGUUGCACUGUAGCUUUGGGCUGGCGCACCCCAA